GAGUUGUACUUUGCAGAGGAUGUUUUGGCAACUCUUGAGGUAAAAGUCCUUUGGAACAGGGCGUCAUGGAGGGUGAUAAUCCCGUAUGGCCAACAAGAGACGCCGUGUAAAACUCCUUCGAAGAGUCGAGUUGUUUGGGAAUGCAGCUCAAAAUGGGAGGUAAAUUUCUUCCAAAGCUAAAUAUCUGCUAGAGACCGAUAGCGCACAAGUAGAGUGAUCGAAAGAUGAAAAGCACUUUGAAAAGAGAGUUAAAAAGCAUGUGAAAUUGUUGAAAGGGAAGCUUAUGCAAUCAGACAUGAUUGGUCAAGUUCAGCCGUAUGGUCAAUUCUUGACAGAAUCAGGUUAGCAUCAGUUUGGGUCGUUGGAUAAAAGCGCUGGGAAUGUAGCUCCUCGGAGUGUUAUAGCCCGGCGCAGAAUACGACGCAUCCAGACUGAGGUCCGCUUACAGGAUGC
rnacentral:rRNA from 1 species